AUCACCAUUGAGGAAAAUACAUCCAUUUUGAAGCAAGGCAUUGAAGCUGGCUGCCCAGACAAAUCUCAUGCUGACAGGCAAAUGCCUCAGGAGCUUUAAGUGGGUCAGGGAGAAGGUGACUGCAAAUGACUGUGCUUUCCAGUAUGUACAUUUCAACAGCCUGGAAGAUUUUAGGAUCAAUCAAUCAAUCAAUCAGCAUCCUUUUAAAGGAUUUAAUCAAAACUGCAAAAU
rnacentral:lncRNA from 1 species